rnacentral:rRNA from 1 species
AAUGAACGCUGGCGGCAUGCCUUACACAUGCAAGUCGAACGGCAGCAUGACCUAGCUUGCUAGGUUGAUGGCGAGUGGCGAACGGGCGAGUAAUGCAUCGGAACGUGCCUUUUAGUGGGGGAUAACGUAGCGAAAGUUACGCUAAUACCGCAUAUUCUCUGAGGAGGAAAGCAGGGGACCUUCGGGCCUUGCGCUAGAAGAGCGGCCGAUGUCGGAUUAGCUAGUUGGUGAGGUAAAGGCUCACCAAGGCAACGAUCCGUAGCGGGUCUGAGAGGAUGAUCCGCCACACUGGGACUGAGACACGGCCCAGACUCCUACGGGAGGCAGCAGUGGGGAAUUUUGGACAAUGGGCGCAAGCCUGAUCCAGCCAUGCCGCGUGAGUGAAGAAGGCCUUCGGGUUGUAAAGCUCUUUCGGCUGGGAAGAAAUCGCACCCUCUAAUACAGGGUGUGGAUGACGGUACCAGCAUAAGAAGCACCGGCUAACUACGUG